AACGGCUGGCGGCAUGCCUAACACAUGCAAGUCGAACGGAAGUAGCAAUACUUUAGUGGCGAACGGGUGAGUAACACGUGAGCAACCUGCCUUAUACUCAGGGAUAACAGUUGGAAACGACUGCUAAUACCGGAUAAGACCACGCUAUGGCAUCAUAGAGGGGUCAAAGUGCUUUAGCGGUAUGAGAUGGGCUCGCGUCCAAUUAGCUAGUUGUGGGGUAACGGCCCACCAAGGCGACGAUUGGUAGCCGACUUGAGAGAGUGAUCGGCCACACUGGAACUGAGACACGGUCCAGACUCCUACGGGAGGCAGCAGUGGGGAAUAUUGGGCAAUGGAGGAAACUCUUACCCAAGCAAUGCCGCGUGAGUGAUGAAGGUCUUUGGAUUGUAAAGCUCUUUGAUUGGGGAAGAAUAAAUGACGGUACCCAAAGAACAAGCCCCGGCUAACUAUGUGCCAGCCGCCGC
rnacentral:rRNA from 1 species